GGGGAGGACCUGGUGCUGGACCGUUGUUAGGACCUUCGUGCUGCUGUUGAGGCUGUUGUUGUUGUUGUUGUUGCU
rnacentral:snoRNA from 1 species